GACGAACGCUGGCGGCGUGCUUAACACAUGCAAGUCGAACGGAAAGGCCCUGCUUUUGUGGGGUGCUCGAGUGGCGAACGGGUGAGUAACACGUUAGUAACCUGCCCUUGACUUUGGGAUAACUUCAGGAUACUGGGGCUAAUACCGGAUAGGAGCUCCUGCUGCCUGGUGGUGGUUGGAAAGUUUCGGCUGUUGGGGAUGGACUCGCGGCUUAUCAGCUUGUUGGUGGGGUAGUGGCUUACCAAGGCUUUGACGGGUAGCCGGCCUGAGAGGGUGACCGGCCACAAUGGGAAUAAGAUACGGCCCAGAAUGCUACGGGAGGCAGAAGUGGAGAAUAUUGAGAAAUGGGCGGAAGACAGAGGAAGAAACGCAGCGUGCGGGAUGAAGGCCUACGAGUGGUAAACCGCUUUCGCCUGUGACGAAGAGUGAGUGACGGUAAUGGGUAAAAAAGAACCGGCUAACUACGUG
rnacentral:rRNA from 1 species